UUACGGCGAUAUCAUGUUGAAACACCGGUUCUCGUACGAUCACCGAAAUUUAGUAGCGUCAAGCAUCGUCAGUACCUAGAUGAGUGACCUCUUGGGAGUACCAGGUGAUGUAAG